CGCCCACAGAUCAGAUUUUCUUGUCCAAUGUUUACCUUAAUUCUCAAUGUUAUUAGUUUAUUUUUCUUUCUAUUGUGAUUAAUAUUUAGAAUAAUUUAAUUCCAAUGGUUAAAUUUAAUUGCUAAUCAUCAACUAUCUUAAUCUUGGAAUGGAAACCGUGAGAAACCAGAAGACAAUUUUAUUUAUUUCUCUCUGUACUGUUGAUCUUCACACCUUGAGGUUUGGGUGUGACAAUCUUUAAGUGUUAAGAUUAAUGGAGAUCAUGUUUAUCUUGAUUUCUUUUUCUUUCCUCAUUUAAUCUGAUUAUAAAAAUUUGAUUCUUUCAUCAGCUCACGUUAAUCUAAUUAAAAAAUUAGUAAAUCAAUAAACCUAUUGAAAGUGAAUCAAAAUUCAUCUCAUCAAUCAUGAUAAUCAAGCCCAUUAAAAGAAUCGAGUACAAGUUCCGUUAACAAAGGAGACCUUUUAAUCAAAAUGGUUAAACAGAUUCACUUAUUAUCCAAAGUAAUCAAUGUCAUCGGGAUUAUCCAAUGGUAAUAAUUCAGAUUGGCUCCUAAUCGCCAUUAAAACUGCAACGUUACAUUCAAUUGAUUUGGACACCAAGUUAAAGAUAAACUCUCACUAUGGGUUCUCAUCAUCAUCUCCAUCUUCCUCAUCAUCAGCUUUCUCUCAUCCUCUAUAAAUUUAAUUUUAUAGAUCAUUAGUUAUCUAUCAUAAUCAUCAUCAUCUUAUUAGCAAGAGAUAUCCUAAUGAUAAAACGUUGAUUGUUAGUUAAUUCACAAUUGAAGUUAUACCAUUUUUAUGGUCACCAUUUGAAAUUACAAUUUCAUAUGGUUGCAAAGGUUAAGGACAUAAAUUGUUUUACUUUUAGUAGUUAACAAUUUACCUUUUCAUACAAAUCAAAACACAGUGGGUCAUGAUUAUUAUGUUGAUGAUUAAGAUGAUGGUGAUGAGGAUGAUAGCCACUGAUGAUUGGAAGAUGAUGAUGACAAGAAAUUUUGUUUUCUAUUUACAAAGCAGUGAUACACCUUUGAAUUUAAAUGGACAAUUAAACAACAAUUGGAUUCAUUUCCUUUGGACAGAUGAGAAACAUUGGUUGACAAUCAAUUUAGAUAAAAAUUGACCAAUAAUUAACAAUAGUUGUUUAAGGAGAGAUGAAACCAAUUCAUUCAAACAUUUGAAUUAUAUUGAAAUUUUGCUAAUUAUAAUGUACUUGUUUCAUUUAAUUCUUGGCUGAUUGUUGGUUAUCAUAAUCUAAUGUUCACCUUAAAUCAUUUUAGAUCAUAACAAUUAUCUUAAUUUCAACCUUCACAAUCUCAUCUAAUAUAAAGGUAAGUACGAAAAUUUCAUUUUACCCACAUGAAAGUAAUUAACCUGAUUAACUUUAAUUAAUUACAAUUGUUUACCAUUUUCAUCUAUUAAUUGACCCACAGAUUAACCUUGUAAUUUAGAGAGAGAUGAUAAUUUAAAGCUAUUUUUGGAUAAUAGUAAUCAACUAAAUCGUCUAUGUAAUAUUACGAUACACCUACACAAUUUAGUUUCAAAAGAUAAUCAUUAAUGAUUUGUUACAAUCAAAAUAAGGUCAAAAAAUGUUAACUAUUUAUCUUCAUCUUGACCGCCCAAUAUAAUCCUCAUAGGAAGAUAUUGAAUAUCAUCAAUUUAAUGAUUAAGACACGUUUUCAUUUAUAUCUAAUUCUUAAUCCAUUCAAUUGCUUACGAUUAAGAUUAAGAUCUUUUUUUCUUCAGAUUAUCAUUUCUUUGAAAAUCUUUAUGGAAAUGGUUUCAUAAGUAAAUAAUAAUAAGCUUAUUAAUAGUUAAUUGUUGUCAGAUGUUAAAUUGUUAACAGUUAUCUACCUUAUCCUUGAUUUGAUUCCUCUUUUUAACAAUAUGUUAAUCAUGUUGGUUAACCUCUAAUCAGUUAUCAUGAAAUAUAAUCUAGAUAAAUGACUGUGUUGGAUUUAAAUUUAAUUUAGCAAUUUAAAUGACCAACGAUUAUCAGUAAAGUCUAAUUGUUUUGAAUAAUCAUGUUAAUCGGCCGACAAUUAAUGAACCAUGUUAGUUAAUUAACUAUAACCAACCUUUCAACAGUAAGAUUUCAGCUAAUUUCAAUUGAUUUACUUUUCGUAUUCACCUUCAUUAGUAUUCAACAAAUCAGCCUUGCUAAUCAUGAUUAACUCCCAGUAAUCAAUAUUGAUUGUAUUGGUAUCAAGUAAAUUUGUUAAUUGUAAGUGCAACAAGUCAUGCAUAUUGCAAUGAUUUAGUGUAUUAGUUGAUUACAAUACAAUAAUUUAAGUAAAAAGAAAGCGAUUUACGAUCCUAAGAUCUCCCAAACAAUUUACGUUAAUUGUAAAAGUUUUUUAA